rnacentral:rRNA from 1 species
UACGUAGGGGCCAAGCGUUGUCCGGAUUUAUUGGGCGUAAAGCGUCUGUAGGUGGUUUGACAAGUCUUCUGUCAAAGAUCAGGGCUUAACCCUGGGCAGGCAGGAGAAACUAUCAGGCUAGAGUUCGGUAGGGGCAGAGGGAAUUCCCGGUGGAGCGGUGAAAUGCGUAGAUAUCUGGAGGAACACCGGUGGCGAAGGCGGCUUCCUGGCCUAGGACCGACGCUGAGGCGCGAAAGCGUGGGGAGCGAACGGG